UCACUAUGGGAAGGGGAACCCCGGGAACUGGGGAUAAUACCCCAUAGACUAUGGAUGCUGGAAUGCUCUGUAGUUGAAAGGUCCGCCGCCAUAGGAUGGGUCUGCGGCCGAUUAGGUUGUUGUUGGGGUAACGGCCCAACAAGCCUGUAAUCGGUACGGGUUGUGGGAGCAAGAGCCCGGAGAUGGAUUCUGAGACACGAAUCCAGGCCCUACGGGGCGCAGCAGGCGCGAAAACUUUACAAUGCGGGAAACCGUGAUAAGGGAACUCCGAGUGCCCGUAAAAUCGGGCUGUCCAUCUGUUUAAAUAACAGGUGAAGAAAGGGCCGGGCAAGACCGGUGCCAGCCGCCGCGGUAAUACCGGCGGCUCGAGUGGUGGCCACUAUUACUGGGCUUAAAGCGUUCGUAGCUGGUUUGUUAAGUCUCUGGGGAAAUCUGCCGGCUCAACCGGCAGGCGUUCCAGGGAUACUGGCAGACUAGGGACCGGGAGAGGUGAGGGGUACUCCAGGGGUAGGAGUGAAAUCCUGUAAUCCUUGGGGGACCACCUGUGGCGAAGGCGCCUCACCAGAACGGCUCCGACAGUGAGGGACGAAAGCUGGGGGAGCAAACCGGAUUAGAUACCCGGGUAGUCCCAGCCGUAAACGAUGCGCGUUAGGUGUAUCGGUGACCACGAGUCACCGAGGUGCCGAAGAGAAAUCGUGAAACGUGCCGCCUGGGAAGUACGGUCGCAAGGCUGAAACUUAAAGGAAUUGGCGGGGGAGCAC
rnacentral:rRNA from 1 species